GAGCCAUUGCUAUUGGGAUCCGAUUAGCCAUGCGAGUCGCGCGGGUUCAGACCCGCGGCGAACGGCUCCGUAACACGUGGUCGAACUACCCUGUGGACCAGGAUACUCUCGGGAAACUGAGGCUAAUCCCGGAUAGCGUUUUCAGCCUUGAACGGCGAAAACGCCAAACGCUCCGGCGCCACAGGAUGUGACUGCGGCCGAUUAGGUAGACGGUGGGGUAACGGCCCACCGUGCCGAUAAUCGGUACGGGUAGUGAGAGCUAGAGCCCGGAGACGGACUCUGAGACAAGAGUCCGGGCCCUACGGGGCGCAGCAGGCGCGAAACCUUUACACUGCGCGAUAGCGCGAUAGGGGGAUCCCAAGUGCGAGGGCAUACAGUCCUCGCUUUUGCCUACCGUAAGGUGGUAGGCGAAUAAGAGCUGGGCAAGACCGGUGCCAGCCGCCGCGGUAAUACCGGCAGCUCAAGUGAUGGCCGAUUUUAUUGGGCCUAAAGCGUCCGUAGCCUGCUAGACAGGUCCGUCGGGAAAUCCACCCGCUCAACGGGUGGGCGUCCGGCGGAAAACAGCUAGCUUGGGGACCGAGCGACCUGAGGGGUACCUCCGGGGUAGGAA
rnacentral:rRNA from 1 species